GCAUCAGUUCUCCUUCAGCCUUCGAUUCGGUAACGUGCCUGUUUCGCGCCUUCAUUCUCAUCGAUUCGUUCUGUUGUGUACUCCAGUGUUGAGUGAUUAUUUUUUACAGCAUUUCCCUGUUUCCCAGUGCCAAGGAAAGUGAGAGUUUCGGUGUGCGUUGAUUUGCUUUACUGACGACGACACGGUGGGGGACCUCCCGGUGCGUGCGUGCUAGUUCGUUCGUUCUUUUUCGUUCUACUUUCCAGGGCCAGUUUAGAAUACAUAAAGAGUGAGUUUUGCGGGUGGCUGCCUAGUGUUCUGCUCCAGGGUUCAGCAAUUAUGAGGCUUCUGCAAUGGGAUUCGCUAAUAAUUUGCCUGAUUGUGGCCGCUGUGAAUAUGUGUGCAGCGCAGCAGCAGGCACCUCCGACCAUCACAUCCAUCAGUCCGGAACAGAUUAAGGAUAUUGGAGAUACCGUGGCGCUGGAUUGCGAUAUUGACAACGUGGGCAAGUUUACGGUUGGUUGGCAGAAGAGCAAUCGGGAGCGGUCGCAGAAUGUCAAUACCAUCUCCUUGGGUCCAACGUUGGCCGUGGCCGAAGAGAGGUUCGAGCUCAGUGAUGAUAAAGAGAACAAUACCAUGAAGUACAGAUUGACGAUCAACGACAUCGUCAAUACGGAUGCCGGUCUGUACGAGUGCCAGAUUCAGGUGAACAGCACCAACAAGGUGACGGCUACGGUGGAACUUCAGGUCCGUCAUCCACCAAUUUUAAAGGACAAUCUAAGGGCUACCACUGUUACCAAGGCAGAAGGCGAAGAUGUCAAACUGACCUGCUCGGCUGAGGGAUAUCCACGACCGUCGAUCUCCUGGAAGAGGGAAUACGGUGCCAUUCUACCGAUCGGUGGACAGAGCUUUGCUGGUAACGAGCUGUCGUUGUCUUCGUUGGUCAAGGAUGAUCGUGGUACAUACUUUUGCAUUGCGGAUAAUGGCGUUGGAAAACCAGACUCCAGGACGAUUAACCUUGAGGUGGAAUUUGGCCCGGUAAUCUCCGUUCCACGGCCGAAAAUAGCCCAAGCAACCGAGUACGAUAUUGAACUGGAAUGCGUUGUGCAAGGCUUUCCGUCACCUUCGAUUUCCUGGUUCAAAAAUGGACAGCAGAUUCAUAACGGUGGACCUUAUGGCAUUACCCAAACCGGUCAACCGGAUGACGUAACGACUUCCACGGUGAAGAUCACCUCAGUCGAAAGCUCACACUACGGAGACUACCUCUGCAAGGCUUCCAACAAAGUAGGCCACGACGAAGCAAGGCUGAAUCUCUAUGAAUCGGUGAUUCCUGUUCCCUAUUGAAGUUUUUAGUUGAUUUUAGUAUUCUUAGUUCAAUCAAUCUUAGGUUGAGUUUUGUUUCCUUGAACAUUUUGAAAGAACAACGCAUUCCCAACAUCAACUACUCCGGUCUGAAGUGGUCCAGCUCAGGGCACGUUCUCAUGAGCCAUCUAGGUAUCCUAAUGGUAACGGUACUGCUGGCAACGCUGUUGUGAAUAAGAAGGAGAAGCUAAGUGCAACUGCCAAUUUCAAACAAAUCAAGCAGAGACGAAACCUACAAUCCAGCCAAAUGAAACAUUAAGAGAAAACGAAAAGUUCAAAUACAGCGCACUUAGAAGGCCCAUUCCCAGGAACUGUAACCCACUAAGAAAACGAAUCAAAUUAUUUGCAUUUUAUACAGAAGACAUAUCUCUACGAGGAAGGAUACUUACUUACCCAGAAUUGAAUCUAAAAAUGUCCAUAUUCGUUAGGCAUAGUUUAGGUAGAAAGACGAUUACGACUGUUUUUCGGAGGAAACCUGUACAAAUGAAACCGAAUCUAGAAAUUAUGGCAAAACAAAAACCUGACAAAAAUAAAAAAGAAUAAAAAUGACCUGGUAGAUCAUGAUACAAAGAGGAAAAUACUCGUUUUAGUGUUAGGCAAAACAUAUUUCGGAAAACGUGUGCGAAUAAAGACAUAGAAUCGUAA